AAGAUGCUGGGCAAGGAUGAGCCUUUUGCUGAAGCAUUCUAUGGUUGCAUCAAUGAUUCAGAUACCGUUGAGGAGUUUGAAGAACGGUGGAAGCAGAUGGUCGAGUUAUUUGGUGUGGCUGAUAAGAAACACCUCAAGAACAUGUGGGACAGCAGGGAGAUGUGGGCUCCUGUGUACUUUAGGAAUAAGUUCUUCCCAUUCACAGGAACAACCGGGCGGUCCGAGGGCCUGAAUUCCUACUUCAAGACUUUAAAUCAUCAUGGAGACUCGGUUUGGACAUUUGUCCAGCAGUUUGAGCUUUGCCAGGAGCUAAUGCUU
rnacentral:rRNA from 1 species